CCAAGCUUGAGCCAAGGAAGACAGAUUGUUCCUGGUUUGUUUAUAAGCUUACAGGGGAGUGGAAACAAUCUUUCCAGCCAAGCUUCCUUGGGCCAGUUGAAGUGAAACCAAGGAUUGUCCACUUAUCUCAGUAAUUAAGGCACAAAGAGACCCAUGCUGUUUGGGUCUGACUUUUCCAAAUCUGAGGGAUGAUGGUUUUAGCAAAUUCAGUGUGGACCAGAUCUUUGAUUCACUGUGGUCAUUCAGUCGUUUCUGAGUCAUUGCUGGACAGCAGAAGCAGACAGCUGAAUCACAGCUCAGAAAACCGUAAUGAGCUGAGCAGCAUUACAGCUUGUUUCGCUUAAUAUUUAUUCUUAAAACAUGACUUCAUUUGUGAUGGCUAUACUUGGAGAUCCAGAUACAAGUCCAGCGUGUUUGCUGUAACAAGUUAAUGCGAUGAAAUAUGGAAAAACCUAUUUGCCUCUGUCUUCAAAAUUUGCACAAAGCUCCUUUCUGGUGAGGAUUGCGUUGCACUGAUCUCUACACAUUUUCCUGGCAUGCAGUGCUGUUUGGCCCUUUAUGGGAUGGGCACAAAGACCCUGUGUCUACCUUCCCAGUGGGCUGCAUAAGAGACCGGGCACAGUGGAGACACAUACAAAGGGACCAACUCAGGGAAGAAGUUCAUUGGUACAAACCCCACACCAUGGGACCCCUGGAGGACUAUACCUUAGAAGCAGGGAUGAAAGAGAGACUGCCAUUCCCGUGGUUACAGCUAUUGAAAUGACACCCAUAGAAAACAGAAGAAAAUAAUUAGCUUCCACUCAUUUCCAAACCCAGUACUGUGAGUUAAAAAUUAACCACAAAGCAUAAAUGUAUUUUUGUAUGAUACAUCCUAAAGAAUAUUUAAAGGCAUUCUGAGUUUGCUAUUAAAUUUAUCUUGUGGUGGAAAAAUCUUUCUUUCCCACACACAGUGGCUUGCAUUACUUUGUUAAAUGUACACUUAUUGAACCCUUUCUUGGAACAUUGAAAGCUACACUUAUUGAACCCUUACAGGGCACAUUGCAAAUCUUGGGGGAAUGGCACUUCAAGUGACAUUGUGCCAAGUAGGAGAUAUUAUAAGACAUAAGAGCAGUGCCAUGCCAAGCCAAAUAGGAGUCUGAGACAAAAAGAAAAUCAAUAAUACUGAGCCAGGC
rnacentral:lncRNA from 10 species